rnacentral:lncRNA from 10 species
AGGAAAAACACACAAAUGAUUUUAAAACAGAGCCAAUUACCUUUGAUAGACUUUCCCCUGCUUUUAACAGGUUUUUUGAGGACACAUUCUCCUCACUCCUACUUUUCUCAGGUAAAUACCUAGGAAUGGAAUUGCCGGGAGAUAAGGUAAGAAACUGCCAAUGAGUUUUCCAGAGUUGUGCCACUCUACAGUCUCAUCAGCAAUGUGUAAGAGUUCCAACCUCUGUAUGUCACUCAUAUUUUCCUCUUUCUCUCAGAAACUGCGCAGAACUUUUUGAAGAAUACCUAAGCAAUAAGAACACAAAUAGCCCUUCACUCUGACUUAUACAAGAGUGUAAUGCAAUUGAAAUGAGGGUAAAGUCAAACAUCUUUCUACAGCAUUUCAUAUUAGAUCACAUGGUGAAAUGGUUCUUAACAAUGGCUGAAGUUAUUACCAAAACAUUCUUCAUAAAUAAACUCACUCAUAAUGUCAGGUAUAGACAUGCAUGAACGGACAGAUUUUCUAAAGUGGAAGAGUGUGACAGUAAUGACUAUUUGAGUGCACAUGUGAGACAGCCUUAAAGAUGUCUUUGACUAGUAGGGAUUGAGCACAGUCAGAAUUUUAGAAAGUCUACCGAUAAAGCCUGAGCCAGGAAAAAUAUCAUUAUUAAUCCCUGCCACAGUGUUAGAGGAAAAUAUUAAUAUCUGAUUGGACUUUAAUGCUCCCUGAUAAAGAUAGAUAAAUACAAGCAUUUUGCAUAUGGCCCACACAUAUACACAACUACAGAAAGUAAAAUGACCUUCUCUUAUAAAAUCCAAAGCUUACUUCCUUACUUUUCUUUACAAUUAGUUUUUAAGAAGUUACAGUGUCUGGUGGUGUGGGUGGGGAUGAAUGUCAGGAUUAUUAUUGCAGUUGACAAGCAGGGCAGCUAAGUUUUUCUAUUAGCUUGAAAAAAAAUGCUUUGUGAUGCUCUUUGGUUAACUCGAUAGCAUAGACAAACUAAAAUAAACUUGUAAGCAAAC